rnacentral:rRNA from 1 species
GAUGAACGCUGGCGGCGUGCCUAAUACAUGCAAGUCGAGCGAACGGACGAGAAGCUUGCUUCUCUGAUGUUAGCGGCGGACGGGUGAGUAACACGUGGAUAACCUACCUAUAAGACUGGGAUAACUUCGGGAAACCGGAGCUAAUACCGGAUGAUAUUUUGAACCGCAUGGUUCAAAAGUGAAAGACGGUCUUGCUGUCACUUAUAGAUGGAUCCGCGCUGCAUUAGCUAGUUGGUAAGGUAACGGCUUACCAAGGCAACGAUGCAUAGCCGACCUGAGAGGGUGAUCGGCCACACUGGAGCUGAGACACGGUCCCGACGCCUACGGGAGGCAGCAGUAGGGAAUCUUCCGCAAUGGGCGAAAGCCUGACGGAGCAACGCCGCGUGAGUGAUGCAGGUCUUCGGAUCGUAAAACUCCGUUAUUAGGGAAGAACAUAUGUGUAAGUAACUGUGCACAUCUUGACGGUACCUAAUCAGAAAGCCACGGCUAACUACGUG